rnacentral:rRNA from 1 species
GAUGAACGCUGGCGGCGUGCCUAAUACAUGCAAGUCGAGCGAACAGACGAGGAGCUUGCUCCUCUGACGUUAUCGGCGGACGGGUGAGUAACACGUGGAUAACCUACCUAUAAGACUGGGAUAACUUCGGGAAACCGGAGCUAAUACCGGAUAAUAUAUUGAACCGCAUGGUUCAAUAGUGAAAGACGGUUUUGCUGUCACUUAUAGAUGGAUCCGCGCCGCAUCAGCUAGUUGGUAAGGUAACGGCUUACCAAGGCAACGAUGCGUAGCCGACCCGAGAGGGUGAUCGGCCACACUGGAACUGAGACACGGUCCAGACUCCGACGGGAGGCAGCAGUAGGGAAUCUUACGCGAUGGGCGAAAGCCUGACGGAGCAACGCCGCGUGAGUGAUGAAGGUCUUCGGAUCGGAGAACUCUGUUAUUAGGGAAGAACAAAUGUGUAAGUAACUAUGCACGUCUUGACGGUACCUAAUCAGAAAGCCACGGCUAACUACGUG